CAAAGUGCCUCCUUUUAGAGUGU
rnacentral:miRNA from 1 species